CAGGGAGACAACAAAAUGUUUAAUAUUAUUAUUUUGUCACCUUAGGUCGAUCGGUAUCUCACGUUUUUAAUUUAUUAAGAAUUUCAUUUCCUAAGUUUUUCUAGGUCACACCCAUUAUUUUCCUGGGCCAUUAGCUCAGGUGGUUAGAGCGCACCCCUGAUAAGGGUGAGGUCCCUGGUUCAAGUCCAGGAUGGCCCAUAUCUCUAUGUUGGGGGUAUAGCUCAGUUGGUAGAGCGCCUGCUUUGCAAGCAGGAUGUCAGCGGUUCGAGUCCGCUUACCUCCACUGAUUACCACCUCUUCCAUAAUUCGUAGAAGGGAAAUGUUAUGUGUUGUGAUCAACUUCUGAACGAAUCUAGCUUCCUAAUGAAAUCAUUAAGAUGCUGGACUCAUUGAAUUAAUUUCAUUGUUUUCAGAGAACCUUGACAACUGCAUAGAUUAUUUUUAAAGACAAUAAGCAUCUUUAAUGAUGCANAUUUAUUAUUUGUGCGAAUGCAUUAAUAACAAUUCUAUUAAGCUGAUGCUUCAAUUUUGAAGUUAUU
rnacentral:tRNA from 1 species